AAGAGUGUUAUUUCUUUCGAAGUUGUAGUAGUCUCUUGACACUACUAAGUUGUAAUAUUAUAGUGGUAAUAUUGCUCCGCUGGGUAUUGUAUUUUAUCCCGUUAAAAUAUUGGGUGUCAUUGUUACUCUCUUGUGUUAUUAUUUUUUAUCGUGGAUAUUAUUUCUGGCGGGGAUAUUUAUUUUUUAUCCCAACAGAAACAUCUUGAAACAAUGGAGCUUGCCCAAUUGGUAGCUGAGCAUGAAAAGCUGUCAAAUUUGUUUAGUAUUGUGGAGAAAUUACUUGAUGAAAGUAGAGCUGGCUUUGGAAUCUUUCAGUAAGAUUGCUUCAGUAGCAAAGGGGGAAAGUUGGGUAUUCCUAAAAUGAAAUUGUGUUUUUUUAAUUCAAGAAUAAAAUAUUUGUAGCACUCUCUAGAGGAGCAACUUUUCUAUUAUAAGUUACUUAUUUAUCUUGAAA